AGGUGACUCCGGUGACAAACCGGAGGAAGGUGGGGAUGACGUCAAAUCAUCAUGCCCCUUAUGACCUGGGCUACACACGUGCUACAAUGGACAGAACAAAGGGCAGCGAAACCGCGAGGUUAAGCCAAUCCCACAAAUCUGUUCUCAGUUCGGAUCGCAGUCUGCAACUCGACUGCGUGAAGCUGGAAUCGCUAGUAAUCGCGGAUCAGCAUGCCGCGGUGAAUACGUUCCCGGGCCUUGUACACACCGCCCGUCACACCACGAGAGUUUGUAACACCCGAAGUCGGUGAGGUAACCUUUUAGGAGCCAGCCGCCGAAGGUGGGACAGAUGAUGGGGGUGAAGUCGUAACAAGGUAGCCG
rnacentral:rRNA from 1 species